rnacentral:hammerhead_ribozyme from 1 species
GUCCAGCUGAUGAGUCCCAAAUUGGACGAUACGCUCGUCCUGGAU